CAGCGCCACGAGUGGCAAUCACGAUUAUUGGGCCUAAAGCGUCCGUAGCCGGUUUGGUAAAUCUUUUGUGAAAUCGCCAGGCUUAACCUGGCGGCGUGCAGGGGACACUGCCAAACUCGAGACCGGGAGGAGUUAGAAGUAUUUCUGGGGGAGCGGUAAAAUGCUAUAAUCCUAGAAGGACUACCUAUGGCGAAGGCAUCUAACUAGAACGGAUCUGACGGUGAGGGACGAAAGCCAGGGGAGCGAACCGGAUUAGAUACCCGCGUAGUCC
rnacentral:rRNA from 1 species